rnacentral:snRNA from 1 species
GUGCUCGCUUCGGCAGCACGUAUACUAAAAUUGGAACGAUACAGAGAAGAUUAGCAUGGCCCCUGCACAAGGAUGACAUGCAAAUUCAUGAAGAGUUCCAUAUUUUU